AGUAACGGCGAGUGAACAGGGAAAAGCCCAAAUUUGUAAUCUGGCACUUUUUACAAGUGUCCGAGUUGUAAUUUGUAGAGCUGUUAUCCGUACUGGACCAUGUACAAGUCUGUUGAAAAGCAGCAUCAUUGAAGGUGAAAAUCCUGUAGAUGAUAUGGACUACCAGUAUAUUUGUGAUACGGUUUCUAAGAGUCGAGUUGUUUGGGAAUGCAGCUCAAAGUGGGUGGUAAAUUCCAUCUAAGGCUAAAUAUAAGUGAGAGACCGAUAGCAAACAAGUACCGUGAGGGAAAGAUGAAAAGAACUUUGAAAAUAGAGUUAACAGUACGUGAAAUUGCUGAAAGGGAAACGUUUGAAGUUAGUUUUGUAUUCGUUGGAUCAGCUUCGCAAGGAGUGUAUUCUGAUGAUAAGCAAGUCAACAUCAGUCUAUGAGUGUUGGAUAAGGGUUUUGAGAAUGUAGCAAUUUAAUUGUGUUAUAGCUUGAGACUUGGAUACAAUGCUUUGGAUUGAGGAACGCGUAGUAAGCUUUGAGCGGAUUCGAAAGGAUCUCCUUACUAUGGA
rnacentral:rRNA from 1 species